rnacentral:lncRNA from 1 species
ACGGAUACGAAGUAACAGCUUUACAGUGGAAAAAAGCCCAGUUCUGAAUUCAAAGAGAGAGGUUUUCGAACUGAGGUAAGCUUAUGAGCUUAUUAUUCUGUCUGUGUAGUUGAGAAGUGAGAGUGAAGCGAGGUGAUGGUUUAUCAGGUUAGCUUACAUGCGAGUAGUGAGUCGUGACCCUUGAGACAUAAGCUGCUAGGUUUGACCAUGCUAAAUAAGUUCUUGAAUUUUUAACUAACUUGCAAUUAAAUCCCUAACUUUAAUGUAGCUUAUUACACUUUUAAAGUUUAAAAAGCAUAACAAUUAAAUUCUUGAAAUUAAUUCUGUUUAGUUCAUCAUGCAAGAACAUUGACCCAGUUAAUUUUAGAUGUUAAAGAAAUUGUUUUAACUCUUUUUAAUUCAUAUUUUUGUAUGGGAUGAAGUAUUAGCUUUGUCUUUUAGUGGGUAAACAUUGUAAAAUAAUAAUUCUUCACUUUGAAAAAGAAAAAUCAACACCAUCAUCUUUAAUUAAAAAAUUGAGUUAGGUUCAAGAAUAUAUUUAUUCUACUUUUUAAACUUUAUGAGUGUAAUUAAGCUACUUAAAAUUUAAAUAUUUUUUUAAUAUAAAAAUUAUCAGAUUUCAUUAGCAAAAUGUCUAACCAUGCUACAAGUUACAGUUGACCCGAAGCCAUUGUAAUAAGACCUCCGGGCUAAUCGAUCCAUCGUUGAUAAGGGCAUUCUUAGCUAAUUUGUCGGCCAUUCAAUUUCCCACCAUAGGAUUGAAAUUGAAAAUAACAGUUUAAAAAAAGAGUUUUCCAGCACAAGAAUUUCCUCAAUAAUUGCUACUAGUUCCAGCGAGGGCGGCUUUCUAACUUCCUCCUUUCUCUUUUGUUGAUCCAAUGGCAAUGUUCUAAUCGUUGCUACGAUCUGUUUCUGGUGUAAUCCAAAAGGGCUAACUCAGCUAAUUUAAAGAUCCAAAAUAGUAGAAAGACCCCCAUGGCAAGAGGCCGCUUGUGUCUUAACUUGAGGAUCUGUCCAUGCUUUGAGUUUACAGUAUGAGGAUUAUGCCAUGAACAGCUCUCGGCCUCCAAUUGGUAUCAGAGCCUUGGUGAUAGAAGAAGAGAAAACCUAAACAUCAUGUCUACAGAAAUUACCUCUCAUACUUCUACCCUUCAAUUAUCUCCUUCUUGUAAGAAAACCAUAUCUAACAAGAUAGACCAUCUUGUUGAGAUCUCCCAUAUCCCUGAUAACGUACAGAUAGAAGAUACUUUGGUACCUAUCAUUAACCCUUACAACAUAUUCAAGAAACAAAACUUUGUCAGAAAAACCUUUAACCAAAUCAUCCACAAAAAACCCCUCACCAUAAAAGAAUAUGUUCAAUCCUCCUCACUUUCUCAGUGUUCACUUACUGCUACUUCUCAAGAGCAAUAUGUUACUUUAGAAAUUCCCACCUCUUUCAUAGAACAAUGGCGGAAACAAGGCUAUUCUCAUCUCCAUCUUGGAGCUGUGAGACUUGUCCUUUCCUAUCAUGGAAGGAUGGGAUUGCCUGUUACAGCACGGAUGUCACUUCUGGACACUCGUUAUCUCAAGUACGAGCAUGCAGUGAUUGGGACAAUAGUCACAACACUCAACACUGGUAGUGUUGUUCUGACUUUCUUCCCAAACUUUAACCUCUCUUUGAGCGAUCCUUAUCUAUCCACUGCCUUAAAAGUACAAGUCCAAAUCACGGGAGCUAGUCAAGUUGAAAAUGCUCUCUGAGCGACUCUUCACCAUCAGAUCGUUUAUCGAUUGCAGGAUCAUGCACUUAACUUGCAGAUCCCAGGCUUUCAAGCCUCAUCAGAUGCUUUGUACAUCAUGGCUGAUUCUAGUCAAACCCCUACAAUAGUUCAAGCUCCUCGACAGCUUGAAAAGGAAGAUCUACAGAAACUAAUUCCUAUUGAGUGGGUAACAAAUUAUGAGAAGCUUCAGGCAUCUCAAUCAAAACCAGUACAAGCCACAGAUCCCCUCUUUAUUCAGCAAAAGGAUGGGACUGUUAAGACGAUCUUUACAAGAACUGAGGAAUCUUCCUCAGCACCGUCAAUUUUUCAAGCAUCAAUGAUACAACCUGUAUCACGGCCUAGGGAGAAGAUCCCUAUUCACUCCUUUCAAGCAUCUGGCAACCAGAUCUAUGCUCCACAAGUCAGAGGACACUUUGUCUGGGAUGUAGCCCCAGAAAUGUGCAAGCCAGAAUGCCUAUGUCAAGAUGAUAUGGAUUAUGCUGAACCCUGCUUUCAGCAUCAACAGAAGAAUCCAAAGAAGAUUUCUCUGGAUACUUCUUGUUCAGAGAUUCAUCCUAAGCCAGAUGAUCGGGAUCCAGAUGGUUCCUAGAGAAAGAAUAAAAAGCCACUGCCAAUGUUCGAUGAGGCAAUUGAGGUUCUUGCCAAAGAAGGAAAAACAGUCAUUGACGUUUCCUAUGAUGAGUUCAAGGAAAUUAUGGCACGACUCAACAUUGAAUAUGGCAAACCCCCUUCUGCAGCUUGCAGAACGGAGAUUCGGUCAGAUCCAAAGGUUUAUAGGCUGGAAACCCGGUACCCGUCCAGUUUAGUACAUGAGGUACAAAACGUUGGGCCAGGUAUAACAACGCCACGAACUUUUGGACUUACUUCAUCUCUGUCAACUGUAUCAGCAGUACAACCCUUGGUUCAAGAAUGUUUCAUGUUACAACCAGAGGAUUUCCCUCCCUUGGGAAAAACAGAGAACAAAAGAUCUGAAAUCCUUCCUACACAGAUCUCACCCUCUGGAAACUUAGAACCACUAACACCCCCUGAAGAAGUACUCAACUGGCAAACAUCUAAUUCUAUUGUCCAAAACACUUAUUUGAAGAAGAUAGAUGGCAAAUUGGAUCAAGCACUGCACUUGGUUCAAAACAUAGACCAUAAGCUGGAUACUUUUUCAUAAGAAGUCCUACAACUGUACUCAUCCCUGACAGCAAAGUAUCAAGCUUUGGACAAAGAACUCCGGAUACCUCAGCCGAUCACCCCCUCUUUUAUGCAGAAGCAAAAGGAGAUUUCCCGGUUGAAGAAGCAAAUAGAUCAAAUUGAAAAUGAUCUCCGGAAAGACCAGUCUGCUGCAAUUCCAACAUUCAUAUCGGCAACUUCAACCUCAUCGGCUAUUACUCCUUCAUACUUUUCUUCUUUCCCUUUUCUUUCACAACCAGAACAACCACAAGAGACCCUUUAUCAGCCCUUUGGCACAUUCUCUCACCUUUACCCAAAACACUCAGAAACCCAGCAAAAGAAAACCUCUUCUCCUCUAGCCUCUAAAGACAAACUUCCAGAGCAAUCUCUCAUCAGUCCGUAUGAUUCAGAAUCCUCUUCAGACAACUCAGAGAUAGCGGACAUCACUGAGAUUCUCAUGAACACUUCUGCUACUAAUCCCAGUCCAGAAGUAGUUGAACCUGAAGAUGAUGAUGCUCAGUCAUUCUUUGCUCCCACUAGAGCUCCAAACCCAAGGACAAAACCAGCUAGCGCAGGACCUUGGUUCACUUUUGAUGACUUGCCACCAUCAAAAUGGAAGGACAAGCUUUCCGAAUUCUUGGCUUGGAUUGAUCUUCAGAUGACCCUUGAAGGGGCCACACUCAAAAAAGUCCUUGCCGAAUUUGUCACAAGGUUUACCGGAAGCUUAAGAGAUUGGUUUCAGUCUCAGCCUGAAUACACUAGGCUUCAAUUUGUCACUCUGCCGACUCCAUCAGCAGCAGUAACGAUCCUCCAUAACCCGUUCCUUGGCAGUUAUGACCUGGUCAUAAGACAGCAGAAACAAGAGUUCUUUGAUCGAAAAUGCUGUUCAUUCAAGAUAAAGGAUCUGGAAAAGCACUAUUCGGCUAUGUCCAAGCUCUACUAUGUCAUUGGAGGACAUGAUGGUGAUGAUACAUUAAAGUAUACCUUCAUCACCUCUCUGCCGGAUGAGAUACAACCUGAGGUUAACAAUAUGAUUGCGGCUACAAAGAGACCAGUCACCUCUAUUACUCUUGGAGAAAUCUGGCAAUUCACACUCUCUUCCAUCAAGAGACUGUGUGAUCAACAAGAGUUAUUCAAAAGGUUGUCUCAAAGGGACUUGAUAGUCCAAAAGGCUUGCAACAAAAACCACCUCAAGAUUAAGUGCAAAGCCGCCAACUGCGUCUGUACAAAUCAUAAGAAGAAAUCUGGAUAUCAUUUCCAGAAAUAUACACGCAGCAACAAGAAGUUCAGGGAAAAGAACCCAAAGAGAUUCAAAUACUUCCGUAAAAAAUGGAACCAGGAGUACAAGUCUGACAGAUGUUUCAUCUGCAAAAGGAAGGGACACUAUGCAAAAAAUUGUCCGAGGAAUCCAGAAAAGUCAGCAAAGAUGAUUCAACAAGUCAGCAUGUCUUUAUCUCUUGCAGACUCUUUCGAAGAGGAAAUAGAAUCUCUACUUUCAGAGCAAGAGGAUCUUACCCCAGAAAGCUUAUUUGGGUUAGAAAUGGAGUUCUCAGACUCCACAGAGUCUUCACAAGAAUCUUCUUCAGACUCAGAUGAUAGUGAAAUACCAAUCUUGAUGAUUGGUCUGCAUGAAGAAAGUCAGAAGAAUAUUCUGGAAGAUGUAAUACAAUAUCCUCUCUCUCCAACCCUAUAUCAUCCUCCACUGGUAUAAAGUUCAAGAGACAGUUUCGGCCAUACACUGAAACUUCAAAUCUGUUUUCUGUGACGGAUACUAUUCCUCCAUUCCUUCCAUACACAGAAAAAUUCCUUCAGUUCUGUCCGGAAUCUCAUUCACAUUUCCAACAUCCUCUUCCUCUGUGGAAAAAUCCACAAUUCUAUAUCAGCCUCCCCUUCAAACUUAAUGAAGACAUUAACCCUACUAAAGCCACACACAUGGGAAUGUCUCCCACAGACCUAGCCCUUGCCCGAUCAGAAUGCCUGACACUGUUACAGCAAGGUCUAAUUGAGCCCACUACUUCACAAUGGGCUUGCCAAGCCUUUUAUGUGGAAAAAAGGUCUGAAAGAAUCCGAGGAAAGAAGAGGCUUGUCAUAGACUACAAACCCCUAAACCAUUUCCUUCAAGACAACAAAUUCCCUCUCCCACGAAUCUCAAAUCUCAAGGUCCACAUCCAAAAGGCCCAAUACUAUUCCAAAUUUAACCUAAAGGCGGGCUUUUGGCAACUCGGUAUCCAGCCCACAGAGAGAUACAAAACUGCAUUUUGUAUCCCUAAUGCCCAAUACCAGUGGACUGUUAUGCCUUUUGGGCUCAAGACGGCCCCAUCUCAAUUCCAGAAGACAAUGAUUGAGAUUUUUGGGCCUAUCCUUUACUCUUCUUUGAUCUACAUCGACGACAUCCUUCUAUUCUCAGAAACAGCAGAGGACCAUCACCAACUGUUACAACAGUUCCUUGCCAUCAUCCAAAAAUAUGGCAUUAUGCUGUCUGAAAAGAAGAGCUUUAUUGGCCAACGAGAAAUUGAAUUUCUCGGAAUGCAUUUCAAGAAUGGCCAGUACACAUAUGGUCCCCACCUGACAAAGGAACUUGAUAAUUUUCCGGAAGAGAAUUUAUCAGCAAAACAAAUUCAACAGUUUCUUGGAAUCCUGAACUAUGUUCGAGAGGCCAUUCCACACCUGUCUAGUUACACAUGUCACCUCUCAAAGAUGCUCAAGAAGAACCCUCCUCCAUGGGGAGCGGAACAAACAACAGCUGUCAAAAAAUUAAAAGAGCUGGCUCACAAUCCGCCACCUCUUACAAUCCCGUCAGCAGGAGAACUUAUUCUCCAAACAGAUGCAUCUGACUAUGCAUGGGGGGCCAUCCUCCUAGAAAAGCUCCACGACAAGGAACAAUUGUGUGGAUAUGCAUCGGGUCAGUUUUUCUCUUCAGAAAAACAUUAUCACACGACCUACAAGGAAAUUUUGGCGGUCAAGUACGGGAUAAAAAAGUUUGAAUUCUUCCUGAUUGGACAGCACUUCCUGGUUCGGAUGGACAACUCUUCCUUCCUAAAGAUUCUUGAAUCCAACCAGAAGACCUUGCCUGAGCCCCAACUAUUGCGAUUAAAGUCAUGGUUCAGCAGGUAUGACUUUAAGGUUGAGCAUAUAAAAGGGAUAAGAAACCUAAUCCCGGAUUUCUUAUCCAGACUUUCCAAGCCUCAGAAUCAGCCUAUAGUUCUUCUCACCUCUACAAUAAAUCUUCCCAUAAUCUUUAUGGCUUCCUCAUCCUCCAGAUCAAACCUGCAUCCUCCUUCACCACCAGAUCUUCCCAACAACCUUACAACCAAACAAGUCACAGACUUUGCCCGGAACAUGAUGUUCCAUUAUUUGGUAACUUUUCAACAAACCUUCUCACUCCCAAUACGACCCAAUUUCUUCUUUCCAGACUACCCUUGGUGUUUGAUUUACCACUUAUCCCCUGAACAUCCAAAGCAUGAAAGUGAGUUAUGGUUUCUAUGGUGCCUAUCUACAGUCUGUCAUCAUGCUAUAGAGGUGCCUAUUAUGAAUCUCUUACACUUCUUCAACAAUGAAGCUAACUCGGGGUCUUAUCCAUGGAGAUUCCUUACCUGGUUCAAAACUCCAUAUCAAUGGACAGGAGAUCUCCUUAAACUUAUUCAUGAGUACCAGUUAUUCUCAGUCAACAAUUCCAGAGCUUCGGAAUACCAUGCUCUUUUCAUAUUGCACAGGCCUUAUCUCUGACUAUCAGAAGACACAUAUGCAACUCAAAAUAUCUGUCACUAUUGGAGAACACUUGAUAGUCCUUUACAUCUUGCUCCUCCAGCAAUCACAGAAGAACUAAAGCGGGCCCUGCAAUACAGGAAUGAAUUAAGGACAGCUAAUGCCUCUGCACCAUUAGUCUGCACUUUCAAUGGACAUCAACCAACUGGACAAUCCAUUGAACAUUUCUGUUUCUCUGAUCUUCCAACUCCUCUGGAUGACCCUACCUUAACCAGGGCACAGCAAGAAGCUCUCAUGCAAGACUCCCAGACAAUGGAUGAUGACUCAUAUGAUGACGUCUUCUGAGCACAUGCAAUUGUCGGCCACUCUUCUGUAUUAUUGAGUUUAUCCUUCACAUGCAACUGUCGGCCACUCUUUUGUAUUAUUGUGUGUAUCUUUAUCCACUCAGUAAGUAGAAUGUAUUAUUGAUAGUGGUGGGCCGCCAUAGGUCGCUAUAGUUGUGGUGUAUUAUUAGCUUUAGUGGAAUAUCCACUAACUUUUGUUUGUUAGUUUAGUGGGAUAUCCACGCUAUAGUUGUGGUGUAUUAUUAGCCUUAGUGGAAUAUCCACUAAGUUUUGUUUGAUAGUAUUAGUGGGAUAUCCACUAAUUUUUGUAUGUUUCUACCGACUCUCCACUCUAUANNNUUCUCUUACUCCUCUCUCUUUUACAUUCUCUUAUGGCUUUCUAACUUUCUCCUUUCUCUUCUCUUGAUCCAAUGGCAAUGUUCUAAUAGUUGCUACGAUCUGUUUCUGGUGUAAUCCAAAAGGGCUAACUCAGCUAAUUUAAAGAUCCAAAAGAGUAGAAAGACCCCCAUGGCAAGAGGCGGGCCCUGCAAUACAGGAAUGAAUUAAGGACAGCUAAUGCCUCUGCACCAUUAGUCUGCACUUUCAAUGGACAUCAACCAACUGGACAAUCCAUUGAACAUUUCUGUUUCUCUGAUCUUCCAACUCCUCUGGAUGACCCUACCUUAACCAGGGCACAGCAAGAAGCUCUCAUGCAAGACUCCCAGACAAUGGAUGAUGACUCAUAUGAUGACGUCUUCUGAGCACAUGCAAUUGUCGGCCACUCUUCUGUAUUAUUGAGUUUAUCCUUCACAUGCAACUGUCGGCCACUCUUUUGUAUUAUUGUGUGUAUCUUUAUCCACUCAGUAAGUAGAAUGUAUUAUUGAUAGUGGUGGGCCGCCAUAGGUCGCUAUAGUUGUGGUGUAUUAUUAGCUUUAGUGGAAUAUCCACUAACUUUUGUUUGUUAGUUUAGUGGGAUAUCCACGCUAUAGUUGUGGUGUAUUAUUAGCCUUAGUGGAAUAUCCACUAAGUUUUGUUUGAUAGUAUUAGUGGGAUAUCCACUAACUUUUGUAUGUUUCUACCGACUCUCCACUCUAUAUAAGGAGAAGUCUUUGGUAAUAAAAUUCAGGCAAGUUUCUCUAAGAAAACUCCUCUCUCUUCUACAUUCUCUUACUUCUCUCUCUUUUACAUUCUCUUAUGGCUUUCUAACUUCCUCCUUUCUCUUCUCUUGAUCCAAUGGCAAUGUUCUAAUAGUUGCUACGAUCUGUUUCUGGUGUAAUCCAAAAGGGCUAACUCAGCUAAUUUAAAGAUCCAAAAGAGUAGAAAGACCCCCAUGGCAAGAGGCCGCUUGUGUCUUAACUUGAGGAUCUGUCCAUGCUUUGAGUUUACAGCAUGAAGAUUAUGCCAUGAACACUACCUUAGCAUCUCCCUACAAAUCACCUUCUCUAUUAUCCUUUCUCCUUUGCUAGUUGCAUAGCCCCGUGAAAACUUAACGCUUCUAUGAGGCCAGACUAACACAGUGAUGUACAUAGCUUGAACUGCAACUGAGAAGGUUACCAUUUUCAUCACUGGUCAUAAUUUCAGUUGCACCCUUUUGAGAUUGUUUGUGAAUAGCUCCAUCAAGAUUUACCUUAAACCAACCUGGAAAAAGGGCAUGCUAGGUGUGCGAUACUGUUGAAGGAUCAUCCAUUAAAGAACUCACGAAGACUCCCAUAUCGUUGGGGUUAAGCUUGCAUUGCACGAACUCAUUUUAGUAGACCGAAAUUUGUUCCAUCAUGGCUUCCACUGUCCAUAAUUAUUGUUAAAAAACUUAUAUGUUUUUUUUUUCCUUCCACAAGUCCUAGAGGAUUAUCGCUACAUGUGAAGUAACAUUUUCAUUGUUCAGAUCAGAACGAAAAAACCAAAAACCCAUCCCACCAUGCUCACAUGUGAGUCUCGAUGGUUGGGUCUAAACCCGAGCUAAUACAAUAUGAAUCCCAUACUUGCCCGAAAAAUUGGCACUAUAAGAACAAAUGGGACAUUGGUUCUAGUUGGCCAUACCUCUUACAAAGCCACCAAUUUGAGGCAUACGUCUCGCUACAAUUUCACCUAUUGUUAGACCAUCUCUUAGCAUUUUUCAUAGAAAAAUUUUAAUUCUCGGAGGGACUAGUAAAGACCAUACCAGACGAUGACAUGACAACUACAAGCUAUUACCAUCACUUUCUUCCUUAGUUGGAAUAUGAUGGAUACUAUAAAGAGCUAUAUAAUAUCCCGACUUCACAGUGAAAACUCCAAACUUCGUAAAAUGCCAUACAUGCUUGUCAUGUAUUCGUGUUACACUCAUUGGCAUAGCUAGUAUUGCCUCAGCAUCCAAAUCACUAAUUAAAGAUUUGACCAUAUCCUCUUUCCAUAUUCUAGUUGAAAUAAUAAAUAAUUGGGAUACCCAAUGAACACUAACUAGUGAGUUGUUCGACAGAGUAAGUUUGAAGGGAUACUUUGGUAGGUAUUCAUGCGUCUAGCUUGCUGUGCAUGUGUGUCCCAUUUUUAACCUGCCACCUCAGCUAGUGUACUAAUAAGGUUCUACCUUUCAACAGACUUUGCCAUGCCCAAGAAGGAUUAUUGCCCAAGUUUGCAUCCAUGAGAUCACCAUAUGGAAAGUACGUGGCCUUGAGUAUUCUAACAGGCAAGGAGGUAGAUGAUUAGAUCACAUGCCAACACUAUUUUGUCAGAAGUGUAAGAUUAAAACUAGAUAAGUUCCUGAAACUAAGACCCUCAUCACUUUUAGGGACACAUUUUUUCCAUGAGACCCAAUGCAUUCGUCGCUCCCUAUCCUUUUGUCCCCAUAAAAAAUGACUUAUCAUACUGUUGAUUUCUCUACAUAAACUCUAAAUGAGAUAGAAACAUGACAUAGUAUAUAUCAAAAGAGUAGUUGCACUUUGAUCAUUACUUCUUUACCACCUAUUGACAAAUGUCUACUUCUCUAACCAACAAGCCUAUUCGCCACCCUCUGUUUGAUCUAUGCAAAAGUUUGGCGUUUAGAUUUAGUGACCACUGCAGGAAGGC